rnacentral:rRNA from 1 species
UGGGGAAUUUUGGACAAUGGGCGGAAGCCUGAUCCAGCCAUGCCGCGUGAGUGAAGAAGGCCUUCGGGUUGUAAAGCUCUUUCGGUGGGGAAGAAAUUGCACGGGCUAAUAUCCUGUGUAGAUGACGGUACCCGACUAAGAAGCACCGGCUAACUACGUGCCAGCAGCCGCGGUAAUACGUAGGGUGCGAGCGUUAAUCGGAAUUACUGGGCGUAAAGCGUGCGCAGGCGGUUUGGUAAGUCAGAUGUGAAAGCCCCGGGCUCAACCUGGGAACUGCAUUUGAGACUGCCAGGCUGGAGUGUGGCAGAGGGGGGUGGAAUUCCACGUGUAGCAGUGAAAUGCGUAGAGAUGUGGAGGAACACCGAUGGCGAAGGCAGCCCCCUGGGUCACUACUGACGCUCAUGCACGAAAGCGUGGGGAGCAAACAGGAUUAGAUACCCUGGUAGUCCACGCCCUAAACGAUGUCAACUAGGUGUUGGGAGGGUUAAACCUUUUAGUGCCGUAGCUAACGCGUGAAGUUGACCGCCUGGGGAGUACGGCCGCAAGGCUAAAACUC